UACAGAGGUGGCAAGCGUUGUUCGGAAUUACUGGGCGUAAAGGGCGCGUAGGCGGCCUUGUAAGUCCUGUGUGAAAUCCCCCGGCUCAACUGGGGAACUGCACAGGAGACUGCUUGGCUUGAGUUCGGGAGAGGGAAGCGGAAUUCCGGGUGUAGCGGUGAAAUGCGUAGAUAUCCGGAGGAACACCGGUGGCGAAGGCGGCUUCCUGGACCGACACUGACGCUGAGGCGCGAAAGCUAGGGGAGCAAACAGG
rnacentral:rRNA from 1 species